rnacentral:rRNA from 1 species
AUUGAACGCUGGCGGCAUGCCUUAUACAUGCAAGUCGAGCGGCCGCGUGGCCUUCUGGCUGGUGGCGAGUGGCCAACGGGCGAGUAAUUCAUCGGUACAUGACCUGUCUAGGGGAAUAGCAUAACUCCAGGAGACCUAGUCUCGUACACGUUCUGAGGGGGAAAGCCGGGGUUCUCAAGACCACGCGCGUUUUGCGUGGCCGUUGUCAUAUUAGCUAGUCGGUGUGGUAAAGGCCUACGAUGGCGACGUUCUGUAGCCGGCCUGAGAGGAUGAUCAGCCACACUGGGACUGAGACACGGCCCAGACUCCUACGGGAGGCAGCAGUAGGGAAUUUUGCGCAAUGGGCGCAACCCUGACCGAGCCACUCCGCGUGAGUGAUGAAGGCCUUCGGAUCGUAAAGCUCUGUCAGCAGGGACGAAAAAAUGUGCACGAAAAUAGGCCGGUCUUGACGGUACCUAAAGAAAAAGCACCGGCUAACUACGUG